rnacentral:rRNA from 1 species
UAGGGAAUCUUCCACAAUGGGCGCAGCCUGAUGGAGCAACACCGCGUGAGUGAAGAAGGGUUUCGGCUCGUAAAGCUCUGUUGUUAAAGAAGAACGUGGGUAAGAGUAACUGUUUACCCAGUGACGGUAUUUAACCAGAAAGCCACGGCUAACUACGUGCCAG